AUUGAACGCUGGCGGAAUGCUUUACACAUGCAAGUCGAGCGGCAGCACGGGGGCAACCCUGGUGGCGAGCGGCGAACGGGUGAGUAAUACAUCGGAACAUGCCCAGUCGUGGGGGAUAACACUUCGAAAGAAGUGCUAAUACCGCAUACGUCCUGAGGGAGAAAGCGGGGGAUCUUCGGACCUCGCGCGAUUGGAGUGGCCGAUGUCAGAUUAGCUAGUUGGUGGGGUAAAGGCCUACCAAGGCAACGAUAUGUAGCUGGUCUGAGAGGAUGAUCAGCCAGACUGGGAAGGAGACACGGCACAGACUCCUACGGGACGCAGCAGUGGGGAAGUUUGGACAAUGGGGGCAACCCUGAUUCAGCCAUUCCGCGUGAGUGAAGAAGGCCUUCGGGUUGUAAAGCUCUUUCGGCAGGAACGAAACGGCGAGCUCUAACAUAGCUUGCUAAUGACGGUACCUGAAGAAGAAGCACCGGCUAACUACGUGCCAGCAGCCGCGGUAACAC
rnacentral:rRNA from 1 species